rnacentral:rRNA from 1 species
UACAGAGGGUGCAAGCGUUGUUCGGAAUUACUGGGCGUAAAGAGUUCGUAGGCGGACUUAUUAGUACAUGGUUAAAUCCCAGGGCCUAACCCUGGUUCGGCUGUGUAAACGGUAAGUCUGGAGUAUCGGAGAGGAUAGCGGAAUUCCUGGUGUAGAGGUGAAAUUCGUAGAUAUCAGGAGGAACAUCAGAGGCGAAGGCGGCUAUCUGGAAGAGCACUGACGCUAAAGAACGAAAGCAUGGGGAUCAAACAGGAUUAGAACCCCGGUAGU